UUUUGGACAAUGGGCGAAAGCCUGAUCCAGCAAUGCCGCGUGAGUGAUGAAGGCCUUAGCGUUGUAAAGCUCUUUUACCCGGGAUGAUAAUGACAGUACCGGGAGAAUAAGCUCCGGCUAACUCCGUGCCAGCAGCCGCGGUAAUACGGAGGGAGCUAGCGUUGUUCGGAAUUACUGGGCGUAAAGCGCACGUAGGCGGCUUUGUAAGUCAGGGGUGAAAGCCUGGAGCUCAACUCCAGAACUGCCUUUGAGACUGCAUCGCUUGAAUCCGGGAGAGGUGAGUGGAAUUCCGAGUGUAGAGGUGAAAUUCGUAGAUAUUCGGAAGAACACCAGUGGCGAAGGCGGCUCACUGAGCCGGUAUUGACGCUGAGGUGCGAGG
rnacentral:rRNA from 1 species